GACGUAGGGCGCGAGCCGUUGUCCGGAUUUAUUGGGCGUAAAGAGCUCGUAGGCGGCUUGUCGCGUCGAAUGUGAAAUCUCAGGGCUCAACUCUGACAUUGCAUUCGAUACGGGCAGGCUAGAGUUCGGUAGGGGAGACUGGAAUUCCUGGUGUAGCGGUGAAAUGCGCAGAUAUCAGGAGGAACACCGAUGGCGAAGGCAGGUCUCUGGGCCGAUACUGACGCUGAGGAGCGAAAGCGUGGGGAGCGAACAGG
rnacentral:rRNA from 1 species